rnacentral:rRNA from 1 species
GACGAACCGUGCGAACGUUGUUCGGAAUCACUGGGCUUAAAGGGCGCGUAGGCGGCUUGCCAAGUCAGUGGUGAAAUCCUGCAGCUUAACUGCAGAAGUGCCUUUGAUACUGGCGAGCUAGAGGGAGGUAGGGGUAUGUGGAACUUCUGGUGGAGCGGUGAAAUGCGUUGAUAUCGGAAGGAACGCCGGUGGCGAAAGCGACGUGCUGGACCUCUUCUGACGCUGAGGAACGAAAGCUAGGGGAGCAAACAGG